CCUCGAAUCAGGUGGGACUACCCGCUGAACUUAAGCAUAUCAAUAAGCGGAGGAAAAGAAACUAACAAGGAUUCCCCUAGUAACGGCGAGUGAAGCGGGAUGAGCUCAAAUUUAAAAUCUGAUAGUCUUUGGCUGUCCGAGUUGUAAUCUAGAGAAGUGUUUUCCGCGUUGGACCAUGUACAAGUUUCCUGGAACGGAACGUCAUAGAGGGUGAGAAUCCCGUCCUUGACAUGGACUACCAGUGCUUUGUGAUACACUCUCAACGAGUCGAGUUGUUUGGGAUUGCAGCUCAAAAUGGGAGGUAAAUUCCUUCUAAAGCUAAAUAUUGGCGAGAGACCGAUAGCGAACAAGUACCGUGAGGGAAAGAUGAAAAGCACUUUGGAAAGAGAGUUAAACAGUACGUGAAAUUGUUAAAAGGGAAACGAUUGAAGUCAGUCGCGUUUACUUGGACUCAGCCUUACCUCGGUUUGGUGCAUUUCCUUGUGAACGGGCCAGCGUCAAUGUUGUCCGUUGGAAAAGGGUUGGAGAAAUGUGGCUCUUUCGGGAGUGUUAUAGUCUCUGAUCGUAUACAACGGCUGAUAUUGAGUGGUACAGCAUGCUUCGGCGGUGCUUGUGCUGGCAUA
rnacentral:rRNA from 1 species